AGGGAGACUCAUAUAUAAAAAAGGGCAAGAAGGAAAUGGGCCCCUUCUCUCUUCCUCCAGAGUCACCAUGUGAUCUCGGGAUGAGGACGACAAUGGAAGAAUUGUUAGAUUUUUUCGGCACCUAUUGGAUAAGCAGAAUAAUUUUAAAUCUCAGUCCUUGUGGAGGACGUGAUGUGUGUUCCAAGGAUCUCACUCUGGGUCAUUCAAGGAAGAAGCAAUGGUCAGACACACCUAUUGCUUAA
rnacentral:lncRNA from 1 species